UUUGCAUGCUCUUGCGGUGAUCGAUCACUGUAGUGGCAUUUAAAUUACAAACGCUCUUCCAUCAAGGUUGCGAGCAUUAUUAGCCCACAAAUGCAUUAUACUUCAAAGCAUGCCCGGCAGAAUGCAGAAGGAAUUUAUUCAAGAUACACGUACUGUUCCACUGAGGUCUGCAGUGGUAUUAGUGAAGGCGCCGAUCGCGCGUCCACAAUGGGGAGAUAUCCGUCUUCUUCCGCACAGUAGCCUCUCAGACAGAUUUUCAGAGAGGUGGCUAAUAAUUCCAUGGUGAAAUCGUAGAGAUUAAAAAUAUCAAGAAGAUAUUUCUGCGAAAUAUUGUGAUUUCCACCUGUGUCCGCUUGUUUGCAUUUAUGCAGUUUAUGAAAGUGCUCAUGUAUUGUGUGAGUUAAUAAACGUCACUUUAUUAGA